CUGUUAGUCAUUUUGGAAUGAUUCCAUGAGAAAAAUGUUUCAGGAUUUCCCGAGCUCAACACGAAGGCGAUUUGAGGCUGAUAGUUGUUCGUUGUGCUGUCUUGUGCACAGGUGACCGGUCAGCAGCAUCUCUGGUCUCUACCCGCUAGGUGCUAAUAGCGCCCCCUAUCCCAGUGGCGCCAACCAGAGUGUCUGCAGACAUUGCCCACUGUCUUCUGGGGGCGCCAUAUUGUCCCUGAGAGCCAUUUCUCUAGUUUGAGUUUUCUUGAAACAUUAUGAAAGCACUCAAACACUGAAAACAAUAUCAGUAUAUUUCCAUAUUCACUCCUUUGAUUUCGGAACAGAAGGAAUAGAGAAUUCAGACAUGUGAAUUCAACUUCUACAGUUUAUUGGCAAAACAUUGAACUGACUUCUUUUCGUUCAUUGAAGUAUCUUUUGAUGGCUGGAUCUCCCUUUACGAAGGAAGUUGUGCUGCUCUCCAUAGAAAUAUCAAGAACAUACGGACCCUUCUCUUGAAUUGCCAAAAUUGUCUUACAUGCUCAUCUGCCUCAGCUUAUUCUCUGGUUUGUUGUUUCAGGGCUCAGUGAUGUUUAGGGAUGUGGUAGUAGUCUUCUCAGGACGAGUGGGGCCAGCCAGAUCCUGCUAAGAAGGAUUUGUACAGGGACGUGACACUGGAGAACUUCAGCAACUUCAUCUCUAGGUUCUUCUAUUUCCAGGCCAGAUGUGAUCUCCUUAUCGGCACAAGGGAAAGAACCCUUGGGGGCACAAAGAGAUGUGACAGGAAGCCUGUGCCCAGCUGAGUGAAGGAUCAUUAAGAAGGGCAGUGGCACUGUAGAUCAUGUAUCCUCAUGGGAGAAAAUGGAAAAAUUUAUAAACAAAGAUCCUGAGGACCCCAUGUUCUAGGAUGACUGGGAAUAUAAAGGCAUAUUUGAGAGACAUCAAAGAAAUGAGGAAGGAAAUUCCAGUCAAGUGAUAAUCACCCAGGAAGAGUAUCUACUGUGAGACAGCAAACUUCCCAUAACCUGCAUCAGAAAGUUCCACCUGGAAGUAGGCCCUAUGCGUAACGAAUGUAGAGAAGGGUUUCGGCAGAAGACAUCCCUUCUAAGUCACCAGAAAAUGCAUACUGCUGACCGAUCUGAGGAAUGCAAGCAACAUGGGAAGGCUUUCUUCAUCACCGUUCUGAUCCCCCUCAACAUCAUAGAACUCACACUGGGAAAGACCCCGUGAAUGUAAAGAAUGUGGAAGGGCCUUUAGUCCUGUUUCCCUCUUUACCCAACACCAGAGAAUUCCUACUGGUGAGAAAACCUAUGAAUGUAAGGAAUAUCAAAAAAGCUAUAUUCAGCUCUCAAAACUUAAUGUACAUCAUAGAAUUCAUACUAGGGAAAAAUUCUAUCAAUAUACUGAAUGUGCAAAAACUUGUCACUAAUUAUUCAACAUCAGAGAAUUCAUACUGGAGAAAACCCUAUGACUGUAAGGAAUGUGGAAGACCUUUAGAGGUAUCACACAACUUCAUGAACAUCAAAGAAUAUAUACCAGGGAGAAGCCAUAAAAAUGUAAUGAAUGUGGAAAGGCCUUCGGUCAUCAGUCAUAUCUUUCUCAAUAUCAGAGGAUCCAUACUGGUGAGGCACCUUAUAAACGUAAGGUUUGUGGGAAGGCUUUUAGGCAGGGCUCAAAGCUUUAUCAUCACCACAAAAUUUAUACUAAGUGAGAAAUCAAAUAAAUGUAAUGGAAGCUUUU